rnacentral:tRNA from 1 species
GCCCGGAUGGUGAAAUUGGUAGACACAAGGGAUUUAAAAUCCCUCGGCCUUAGGCUGUACCGGUUCGAGUCCGGUUCCGGGCACCA